rnacentral:rRNA from 1 species
CGAGCCUGAUGCAGCCAUGCCGCGUGUAUGAAGAAGGCCUUCGGGUUGUAAAGUACUUUCAGCGAGGAGGAAAGGUUGUUGGUUAAUAACCAACAGCUGUGACGUUACUCGCAGAAGAAGCACCGGCUAACUUCGUGCCAGCAGCCGCGGUAAUACGAGGGGUGCAAGCGUUAAUCGGAAUUACUGGGCGUAAAGCGUACGCAGGCGGUUUGUUAAGCGAGAUGUGAAAGCCCCGGGCUCAACCUGGGAACUGCAUUUCGAACUGGCAAACUAGAGUCUUGUAGAGGGGGGUAGAAUUUCAGGUGUAGCGGUGAAAUGCGUAGAGAUCUGAAGGAAUACCGGUGGCGAAGGCGGCCCCCUGGACAAAGACUGACGCUCAGGUACGAAAGCGUGGGGAGCAAACAGGAUUAGAUACCCUGGUAGUCCACGCCGUAAACGAUGUCUACUCGGAAUUUGGUGUCUUGAACACUGGGUUCUCAAGCUAACGCAUUAAGUAGACCGCCUGGGGAGUACGGCCGCAAGGUUAAAACUCAAAUGAAUUGACGGGGGCCCGCACAAGCGGUGGAGCAUNNGG